rnacentral:lncRNA from 1 species
GUGGUCAAAAAUUCAAAUUUAGGAGGACAUCUAACAAAAACCCAACUUCUGAGAAACAUCUAUUAAUGAUUAUAAUUGAAAAGUAAAAUGCGUACCUUAGUCGGUUCCGAAUAAUUUAUCUAUUUCCUAGGAACCUUCUCAAGGUCUAGUAGUCGCAAGGGUACUGCAAGUACAAGUUUUGUUCAGUUACGCUUUAUCGUCGUUUGCGAACGUUGUGUUCUCAAGUUGUUAAAAGUGUUAAAGAGUGUUUUUAAAUUAUUUUUUUUUAUUUUAUCAUGUCUGCUGGUUCUUCAGGUAUUCACUGAGACGUGACGAGGUUGAAUUUAUUCGAACUUCUUUUAGAUAAUUCUUUGUUAUCUCGGGCAACUACAGUUGCUUCAAGGAAAAAUAUGCUUGACUAUGUAAAUCAUGGAAUAGAUAAUAAUAAUAGAUAAGAUACACAUGAUAUAAUAAUGCGAGAAAAUAAUUAUGUCGAGGAACAAAUAGCUUCGCUCUUACCAACAAUUGUAAAUGUUCGAGAAGAAAUUGUUACUGUCCAGCAUACGUUAUUAAAAACUAUGUUGGAUGGAAAAGUGGCCAAUGCUCUAGCAGAAAAUCCUUCCACACAGAGUUGCUAUAUUUGCAAAA